CCUUACCCUUGGGAAGUGAGCACGCGCAGUGCGUUUAGGAAGUUGUACGCAUACCCAACUGAAGCUUUCUUCCCUUCUCCAGUGGAGUGCACCUGGAGAGGAUCUGAGAUGGUAUAGAAGUGUUUGUAUCCCAGCAGCAGGUGGAAGCCAGGGGAUGUCUACCAAAGUUGUAAAUGCAUGUAUUCUGUGGUGUAGCUGAGAGAUAGCUGCCUCACAGAGUAUGCCAUGGAAAAUUCUAAGGAUGAUGAGGCCAGACCACUCUGCAUGGAUCCACAGCAG
rnacentral:lncRNA from 1 species